GAUGAACGCUAGCUACAGGCUUAACACAUGCAAGUCGAGGGGUAACGAGAGGAAAGCUUGCUUUCCUUGUCGACGACCGACGCACGGGUGAGUAACGCGUAUCCAACCUGCCCCCAACUAGGGAAUAACCUUGCGAAAGUAAGACUAAUACCCUAUAAUUUCCUCAGAUGUCAUCUGACGAGGAAUAAAGAUUUAUCGGUUGUGGAUGGGGAUGCGUCUGAUUAGCUUGUUGGCGGGGUAACGGCCCACCAAGGAAACGAUCAGUAGGGGUUCUGAGAGGAAGGUCCCCCACAUUGGAACUGAGACACGGUCCAAACUCCUACGGGAGGCAGCAGUGAGGAAUAUUGGUCAAUGGGCGGAAGCCUGAACCAGCCAAGUAGCGUGCAGGAUGACGGCCCUAUGGGUUGUAAACUGCUUUUAUACAGGAAUAAAGUUAGCCACGUGUGGUUAUUUGUAGGUACUGUAUGAAUAAGGACCGGCUAAUUCCGUGCCAGCAGCCGCCGUAA
rnacentral:rRNA from 1 species